GACGAACGCUGGCGGCGUGCUUAACACAUGCAAGUCGAACGGAGAGGCCCUGCUCUUGCGGGUUGGUCGAUUGCCGAACGGGUGAGUAUCACGUGAGUAAACUAUACCUGACAUUCGGAUAACUUCAGGAAACUCGGGCUAAUACCCGAGAGGAGCUCCUGCUGCACGGUGUGCGUUGGAAAAUCUCGGCGGUUCGGGAUUGACUAGCGGCUUAUCAGCUUGAUGGUUGGGUAGUGGCUUACCAAGGCUUUGAAGGAUAGCCGGCCUGAGAGGGGGACCGGCCACAUUGGGACUAAGAGACGGCCCAGACGCCGACGGGCCGCAGUGGGGGGAACCAUUGCGCAAUGGCGGCGAGUGUGAGUCAACAACGCCGGGUUCGGGAUGACCGUUUCGGGGUGGUAAACCGAUUUGGCCGUUGAUGAAGCGUUAGUGACGGUAAUGAGUAAGAAAGCACCGGCUAACUACGUG
rnacentral:rRNA from 1 species